AUGAACGCUAGCGGCAGGCUUAAUACAUGCAAGUCGAGGGGCAGCAGGGAUAGCAAUAUUCGCUGGCGACCGGCGCACGGGUGCGUAACACGUAUACAAUCUGCCUUUUACUGGGGGAUAGCCUUCGAAAGAGAGAUUAAUACCCCAUAAUAGAUUGCUCGGCAUCGAGUGAUUUUGAAAGCUCCGGCGGUAAGAGAUGAGUAUGCGUCUGAUUAGCUAGUAGGUGAGGUAACGGCUCACCUAGGCCACGAUCAGUAGGGGAUCUGAGAGGACUAACCCCCACACGGAUACUGAGACACGGAUCCGACUCCUACGGGAGGCAGCAGUAAGGAAUAUUGGACAAUGCCCGCAAGCCUGAUCCAGCCAUGCCGCGUGCAGGAUGACGGUCCUAUGGAUUGUAAACUGCUUUUGUACAGGAAGAAACACUCCCUCGUGAGGGAGCUUGACGGUACUGUAAGAAUAAGGAUCGGCUAACUCCGUG
rnacentral:rRNA from 1 species